GAUGAACGCUGGCGGCGUGCCUAAUACAUGCAAGUCGAGCGAACAGACGAGGAGCUUGCUCCUCUGACGUUAGCGGCGGACGGGUGAGUAACACGUGGAUAACCUACCUAUAAGACUGGGAUAACUUCGGGAAACCGGAGCUAAUACCGGAUAAUAUAUUGAACCGCAUGGUUCAAUAGUGAAAGACGGUUUUGCUGUCACUUAUAGAUGGAUCCGCGCCGCAUUAGCUAGUUGGUAGGUAACGGCUUACCAAGGCAACGAUGCGUAGCCGACCUGAGAGGGUGAUCGGCCACACUGGAACUGAGACACGGUCCAGACUCCUACGGGAGGCAGCAGUAGGGAAUCUUCCGCAAUGGGCGAAAGCCUGACGGAGCAACGCCGCGUGAGUGAUGAAGGUCUUCGGAUCGUAAAACUCUGUUAUUAGGGAAGAACAAAUGUGUAAGUAACUAUGCACGUCUUGACGGUACCUAAUCAGAAAGCCACGGCUAACUACGUG
rnacentral:rRNA from 1 species